CAGUCGCCGCGGGAAUACAGAGGGUGCGAGCGUUAAUCGGAUUUACUGGGCGUAAAGCGUGCGUAGGUGGUGGUUUAAGUCCGUUGUGAAAGCCCUGGGCUCAACCUGGGAAUUGCAGUGGAUACUGGGUCACUAGAGUGUGGUAGAGGAUAGUGGAAUUUCCGGUGUAGCAGUGAAAUGCGUAGAGAUCGGAAGGAACAUCUGUGGCGAAGGCGACUAUCUGGGCCAACACUGACACUGAGGCACGAAAGCGUGGGGAGCAAACAGGAUUAGAUACCCGGGUAGUCCCUGUCUCUUAUAC
rnacentral:rRNA from 1 species